ACGGAUGAAAAGGCUGGAAGGGGCUUAUAGGGACCCUGCUUCUCUCUCUUCUUGGGGUGGCAUUGGCUGAUCGGCUGGUGCCACACUGGGGAGGGUCGACUGCUUUACUCGGCCACCGAUUCAAACGCUGACAUCAUCCCUAAGCACCGUCACAGAAAAACCCAGAAGUAAGUAAGCCAAAUACCUGGGGACCCCAUGGUCCAGUCAAGUUGACAUGUAGAAUUAACCAUCCC
rnacentral:lncRNA from 13 species